UAAGACGAAGGGGGCUAGCGUUGUUCGGAAUUACUGGGCGUAAAGGGCGCGUAGGCGGUUUGUUAAGUCAGGCGUGAAAGCCCUGGGCUCAACCUGGGAGGUGCGUUUGAUACUGGCAAGCUUGAGUGCAGGAGAGGAUGGUGGAAUUCCCAGUGUAGAGGUGAAAUUCGUAGAUAUUGGGAAGAACACCGGUGGCGAAGGCGGCCAUCUGGACUGCAACUGACGCUGAGGCGCGAAAGCGUGGGGAGCAAACAGGAUUAGAUACCCUGGUAGUCCACGCUGUAAACGAUGAGUGCUGGACGUUGGUGGGCUUGCCUGCCGGUGUCGUAGCUAACGCGAUAAGCACUCCGCCUGGGGAGUACGGCCGCAAGGUUA
rnacentral:rRNA from 1 species